rnacentral:tRNA from 12 species
GGCAAGGUGGCCGAGUGGUUAUGGCGUUGGUUUUAGGCACCAAUGGGAAACCGCGUGGGUUCGAAUCCCACCCUUGUCA